UGCAUUCUUACAAGACAUUUGUUUAAAUUUCUUCAAGCACAUGCAGAUAUUUGAUGAUCUUUUAUAAGAAAAAAAUUUUUUUAAAAAAAGAAAAAUUUAAGGUAGCCUCAAAAAUGUGUCUUUAUGGUAUCGUAGUCAUCAAUUUAAUUCCACAGUUCUAGGUCUUGGGCCUUCAUGAGAUAAUACUGGAAGUCCACUCAAAGGGAAUGGGAUAAUUCUGAUGCCCUAAAGAAAAUUCAAAUGUAAUCAGACUGUUUGGAAGGUAGUAAACAUGUAAAUCAUAUGUUCAGUAUAAAAUGUCAGCAUUUUGUUAGGGUUACCCGAGCACUCCUAUCCAUCCUGAAGUACCCAUCAUUCUGUUCCUUGUGCCUCUGUGAUGCUUUCCUCUUUCCCCAGUAGGACACUGGGCACUGGAUGCAUGUCAGUUCCUUCUGUCCACCAAGCUUGCCCUAGAGCAGAGCUGAGCUUUUAAAGCCCUGUUCUUUGCACAGAACAUGACUCAUCAUAGGUUCUCAGCGAACGCCUAGAGAAGUGACUAUCAAUCUGUUUUGACUGAAAUUCAGUCUCAAAUACAUUUUAAGUAUGACACAGUAGAUGCACAGGGAUGACUCUGUAUAAAUUGGAACAAAAGUUUUGUGAAAAAAAAAUAGUUAAUCUUUCUAUGUACCAUCCAUAGAUAUUUCCUAGUUUACUUUGUUUCAUUUUUUAAAAAUAUUGGUCAAGACCAUUAAAUUGAUUCCAAACUUACUAACUAUGCUUUUAAAUUGUAGAAAUUACCCAGAUGCCAAUGAUCAGUUAAUUGGCUUACUUAGGAUUGGUACAAUACAAAAAUAAUCUUUCAAAUAUUGGUUUCCCUAGAAUCUGUUAUGGUUACUGUUGGUAGGUAAGAAUUAUUACUAUGAAUGUUCCGUCAACUUCCUACCAGCCGAUUGCCCACUUAAGAAGGCAGGACAGUGUCAGGCCCCACAUUGUUUAUUCCCUGCUGUCCUCUACAGUUACCUGUGUUAGUCCCUUGUACUCUCUGAAGAUCCUUGGGCCAAUUCUGAAGAACAAAAUGAACAGAAAGGUGAGAAACAGGCCCUCUGGGCAUAGCACAGCUAUGAACACAGGCAUUGAUGUUUGUGCUCAGGCACUGUCCAUCUAACCACCUUCUGAAGCAGUGGAUGAAGGCCCUUGAGGAUUCAACUGCACCUUCUAUCAUGAAUUUAGCCUAGCCAUAGACACAAGCCCCAAAGGGACCAUCAGGACGCAUCUCACCAGUGCAGACGAGGUGGUGGGGCUGAAGUCAUAUCCAAGCUCCUCCUUCUAUGCUUUGAACCUCUAGCACCAUCUCAACGCAAUCCAGCCUGUAGAGACUCUUAAUUUUAUGUACUUGUCACCACAUCCCCACACUACCUAUCACUUUGGAGAAUGAGUUUAUGCUAUAAGUAAUGGGCCUUUUGUUUUCCAUUUCGUUCCUGCUGUCCCCAUGUGGGGUAUCUCCCCACACAUUCCACGUAGCCCCAUCUUUCUGGUCAGCACCAGACUAGCCUCUGUUGUGAAGACACCAUCGAGCCCCUGAUGCAGCUGAGCAACUAAGGAGCCUUGACUACCCCUCCCACUCACCCUGGGCUGGGGAUGGGGUCAAUCCCAUGUCACUUGCAUCUACCAUCCUCUCUUCUGAGAUAUGGCUGUCCUUGCCCAUCCAUCCUCAUGAGAUAUCUUCUCAAAUAGGACAUGACUGAGUGGGUUAGUGUGAACUUUAGGUUGAAUGAAGGCAAGGAAGGGUUUGAGAACCAUUGAGACAAUUUCUGUGAUUAGCCCAUGGCUGUGGGACACUGGAGCAGCUGUGGGAUGCUUGUGGUUUCCAGACACCUCCUGGGGUCAGAGUGUGAAGACCCCUGCCCCACUCCUAGCCAGGCCUGAACUCCUCUCCCUCAGUGAGCUCAUCGUAGAAGCAGUUACCUGAAGCAGCCCCCUUCUCCUCCUAGUACUGGGGAGGAAGACUAGAAAGAAACUACGAGGAGGAGGAAUUGGCUCACCGAGUGUGACCACACCAGUGAGAGCAGCUUUGCUCCCAAAAAGCACUAGCAGCUGUUGCUUAUGAAUAAGCACAGCUCCCACUCCCGACCGGUUCUCAGUAGCAAUGGGUGCUGACCACGGUC
ensembl:lncRNA